UACGUAGGGACCAAGCGUUGUUCGGAUUUACUGGCGUAAAGGGCGCGUAGGCGGCGCGGUAAGUCACUUGUGAAAUCUCUGAGCUUAAACUCCAGGACGGCCAAGUGAUACUGCAGUGCUAGAGUGCAGAAAGGGCAAUCGGAAUUCUUGGUGUAGCGGUGAAAUGCGCAGAUAUCAGGAGGAACACCGGUGGCGAAGGCGGAUCUCUGGGCCAUUACUGACGCUGGAGGAGCGAAAGCGUGGGGAGCGAACAGG
rnacentral:rRNA from 1 species